rnacentral:rRNA from 1 species
AUCUCAAAUCAGGUAGGACUACC